UUAAAGGGUUUCCAUAUUUGGAAACUGAAAUCGAACAUGAAACCUGAAAAAACCAAAAUUUCGGUUUGGUUUGGUUUUCAAUUCGGUUUUGCAUAGGCUGAGUCGUCAUCGCAUACACACAAACAUGGAUAAUCAUAAUUGUAGGAGUAAUGCUUGUGCAUAAGGAACUCACUACGUCGGUUGUACCAAAUGUAUCGAC
rnacentral:lncRNA from 1 species